rnacentral:lncRNA from 1 species
UGAGCUGAUGGGCGAUCAGGACCUCUAGCUUCCAGAACUGUGCUGAGGUGACCAGGACCUCAUGCUGUUGCUCCUGUGCCCCGUUGCUCUCUCUAAUGGACUUUACCCUCAAACUGUGAGCAAAAGAAGACUCUUCAAGUAGCUUUUUCAGGUAUUGUGUUAUAGCAACAAGAGCAAUAGGAACAAGAAGAACAACAAGAACAAGAACAAGAACAACAACAACAACAACAAGAACAACAAGAACAACAACAACAAC